GCGAGAUUCAAUAAUUUACUCUUCGCUGCUUUAUUUUAACUCUAAUCUGAUUAGGAUCUACUCAGUUUGGUAUUCUUAUGCAAAAUGUCAAAAAGUGAGUAAUCGAGUACUGGACAAUUGAGUAACAUUAACCCAAAUUUUCAUAAUUACCAUGUUUACUCAGUUUUGAGUUAUUAUCCAUGAUGUUUACUCACCCCUGAGUAUAUGUAUAUGUCAAAAGUUUUCAACAGCAAUAUUAUCGGUUUCCGAAGAACAAUUGGUGUCGCUUUUUAUUCGUUGGCUAGCACCCAACAUCAGUAUUGCAGAGGAUUUGAAAACACCUAAAAGAUCUCUUCAAAAUGAACAACCGCAUGUUGUAUGUUCUACGAUGCCGUUUAAAGCCGGACUUUUAUUCGUGAUAACAAACGGAAACAUUUGUAUUGAUGUACAGUGCUCAAUAAUCGAUGCAAUUUAAAUCCUUCACAGUAUUAGGUGACGAAUGAUGACGGAUUAUCUGGCACAAAAAAGUAAGUCACAGUUCACGGGCAACUGUCAACCGGUUGGGUGCCGCAUUCAAUGAAGACACGGGAAUGAUUUAGUAAAUUUUCUAAUGUUUCGAUGAAAAAUAAAUCUGUGUUUUUGAUUGUUCUGAA